rnacentral:rRNA from 1 species
AUUGAACGCUGGCGGCAUGCCUUACACAUGCCAGUCGAACGGCAGCAUGAUCUAGCUUGCUAGAUUGAUGGCGAGUGGCGAACGGGUGAGUCAUACAUCGGAACGUGCCCUGUAGUGGGGGAUAACUAGUCGAAAGAUUAGCUAAUACCGCAUACGACCUGAGGGUGAAAGUGGGGGACCGCAAGGCCUCAUGCUAUAGGAGCAGCCGAUGUCUGAUUAGCUAGUUGGUGAGGUAAAGGCUCACCAAGGCGACGAUCAGUAGCUGGUCUGAGAGGACGAUCAGCCACACUGGGACUGAGACACGGCCCAGACUCCUACGGGAGGCAGCAGUGGGGAAUUUUGGACAAUGGGCGAAAGCCUGAUCCAGCAAUGCCGCGUGUGUGAAGAAGGCCUUCGGGUUGUAAAGCACUUUUGUCCGGAAAGAAAUGGCUCUGGUUAAUACCUGGGGUCGAUGACGGUACCGGAAGAAUAAGGACCGGCUAACUACGUG